CCUACGGGUGGCUGCAGUGGGGAAUAUUGGACAAUGGGCGAAAGCCUGAUCCAGCCAUGCCGCGUGUGUGAAGAAGGCCUUCGGGUUGUAAAGCACUUUCAGUGGGGAAGAAAGCCUUGGGGCUAAUACCCUCGAGGAAGGACAUCACCCACAGAAGAAGCACCGGCUAACUCCGUGCCAGCAGUCGCGGUAAUACGGAGGGUGCGAGCGUUAAUCGGAAUUACUGGGCGUAAAGCGCGCGUAGGCGGUCUGAUAAGCCGGUUGUGAAAGCCCCGGGCUCAACCUGGGAACGGCAUCCGGAACUGUCAGGCUAGAGUGCAGGAGAGGAAGGUAGAAUUCCCGGUGUAGCGGUGAAAUGCGUAGAGAUCGGGAGGAAUACCAGUGGCGAAGGCGGCCUUCUGGACUGACACUGACGCUGAGGUGCGAAAGCGUGGGUAGCAAACAGGAUUAGAUACCCUUGUAGU
rnacentral:rRNA from 1 species